rnacentral:rRNA from 1 species
GAUGAACGCUGGCGGCGUGCCUAAUACAUGCAAGUCGAGCGAACAGAUGAGGAGCUUGCUCCUCUGCCGUUAGCGGCGGACGGGUGAGUAACACGUGGAUAACCUACCUAUAAUACUGGGAUAACUUCGGGAAACCGGAUCUAAUACCAGAUAAUAUAUCGAACCGCAUGGUUCAAGAGUUAAAGACGGUUUUGCUGUCUCUUAUAGAUGGUUCCGCGCCGCAUUAGCUAGUUGGUAAGGUAACGGCUUACCAAGGCAACGAUGCGUAGCCGACCUGAGAGGGUGAUCGGCCACACUGGAACUGAGACACGGUCCAGACUCCUACGGGAGGCAGCAGUAGGGAAUAUUCGGCAAUGGGCGCAAGCCUGACGCAGCAACACCGCGUGAGUGAUGAAGGUCUUCGGAUCGUAAAGCCCUUUUAUUGGGAAAGAACAGAAGUAUGUGAAUACCUCGACGUCUUGACGGUACCUAAAGAGAAAGCACCGGCUAACUUCGUG